rnacentral:rRNA from 1 species
GAACGCUAGCGGCAGGCCUAAUACAUGCAAGUCGAACGGUAACAUGAGUACUUGUACUUGAUGACGAGUGGCGCACGGGUGCGUAGCGCGUAUGCAACCUACCCUUUACUGGGGGAUAGCCCGGAGAAAUUCGGAUUAAUACCCCAUGGUAUCCUGACCCCACAUGGGUGUUAGGAUUAAAGAUUUAUUGGUAAAGGAUGGGCAUGCGUGACAUUAGUUAGUUGGUGAGGUAACGGCUCACCAAGACGAUGAUGUCUAGGGGUUCUGAGAGGAAGGUCCCCCACACUGGUACUGAGACACGGACCAGACUCCUACGGGAGGCAGCAGUAGGGAAUAUUGGGCAAUGGACGGAAGUCUGACCCAGCCAUGCCGCGUGCAGGGAGACAGCUUUCUGAGUUGUAAACUGCUUUUAUAUAGGAACAAAGAGGCCCUGCGGGGCAAGUUGCGUGUACUAUAUGAAUAAGCACCGGCUAACUCCGUGCCAGCAGCCGCGGUAAU